GCAUAAUCAUUUGCCUUUUAAUUGAAGGCUAGUAUGAAAGGACACACAAGAAUAAGACUGUCUCAACAAGGCUAACUUUAAACUGAUUUUUAGGUGAAGACGCCUAAAUUAUAAUAAAGGACAAGAAGACCCUAUAGAGCUUUAUUAAUAACAGUUAUUAAACUCUCUUAUUAAUUUGGUUGGGACAACCAAAAAACAUUUAAACCUUUUUAGCACCCAAAUAACCCUUACCCACCAUUGAAUUAGUAUUUCAAGCUACCUUAGGGAUAACAGGCUAAUCUUACUAGAGAGAUCACAUUGACAGUAAGGCUUGG
rnacentral:rRNA from 1 species